CCACAGCCCUGCAGGGGUAGGUCCCAUAUGAAGAAGAGCAGAGAGCAAUGAAAUCCCGACCAGUCAGUUCAAGUGCAUAGAAGCUAGCUAGCAUGGAUGUGGAUCAAACUACCAGACUGGCCUGCAGCAGGAGGACAGUCCCUAUGAGAAGUCUUGUUUGGUCAAGCCCACACAGUGUCAGAGAAGCCCUCACCCUCAAACAGAGCAGCCCUGACGUGGGAGUCCAGCCUGCACCACUGAGGCUUUCAGAAACAACUUAAGUGUCCAUAGCAUGUGAGACUGGGAAGAGGAAUGGCUACCAAGAUGUGUGCCACAGGGGCCAUCUGUGCAGGAUUGCCUCCGUCCCCUUCCUGCUCCUGCCCAGCAGCGCGGGGAACUGCAUGGAUACUUGGCACGGACUGGAUUUUCUUGUCUUCAUGGAAUCAUUUGAUAAGAUUGUGAAUAACCUCCAACAACAGCGAAAUCUGAGACUGGCCAAUUUCUUCAAAAGAAUAACUGAGUCUGUAAGUCAUCAGUGAACAAUUUGGUACCUGGCAACAGAG